AGAGUUUGAUCCUGGCUCAGAACAAACGCUGGCGGCGUGCCUAAUACAUGCAAGUCGAACGGGGAAAGCUUUCGGGUGAGUACUAGUGGCGCACGGGUGAGGAACGCGUGGAUAAUCUGCCUUAGAGUGGGGGAUAACUAGUCGAAAGAUUAGCUAAUACCGCAUAAGACCACAGGAGCUGCGGCUCUCGGGGUCAAAGG
rnacentral:rRNA from 1 species